GGGGUUGUCAUAUAACCUGGCAUUAUGCGAGGCUCCAGACCUCGUCAUUGGGGUUCAAAUCCCUACAACCCCA
rnacentral:tRNA from 1 species